rnacentral:rRNA from 1 species
CCUACGGGAGGCAGCAGUGGGGAAUAUUGGACAAUGGGCGAAAGCCUGAUCCAGCAAUGCCGCGUGAGUGAUGAAGGCCUUCGGGUCGUAAAGCUCUUUUACCAGGGAUGAUAAUGACAGUACCUGGAGAAUAAGCUCCGGCUAACUCCGUGCCAGCAGCCGCGGUAAUACGGAGGGAGCUAGCGUUGUUCGGAAUUACUGGGCGUAAAGAGUACGUAGGCGGUUAUUCAAGUCAGAGGUGAAAGCCCGGGGCUCAACCCCGGAACUGCCUUUGAAACUAGAUAACUAGAGUCUUGGAGAGGUUAGUGGAAUUCCGAGUGUAGAGGUGAAAUUCGUAGAUAUUCGGAAGAACACCAGUGGCGAAGGCGACUAACUGGACAAGUACUGACGCUGAGGUACGAAAGCGUGGGGAGCAAACAGGAUUAGAUACCCUGGUAGUCCACGCCGUAAACGAUGAUAACUAGUUGUUCGGUCACUUGGUGACUGAGUGACGCAGCUAACGCAUUAAGUUAUCCGCCUGGGGAGUACGGUCGCAAGAUUAAAACUCAAAUGAAAUUGACCGGNUGUAGAGUUGCGAGACGACACGAGGAGAG